GAAGCCUGCAGGUCCUGUGAGAGACCUGCAGUAAGCAAGAUUGGAAUCCAUCUCCACAGAAGCCCAUUGCCCCUGCAUUGUUGACUCCCAGAUGGCUGCUCCAGGAUGCUAAAGAUUCAAAGAGAUAUGGACUUUCCCACCUGGGGUCUGGGGCCCUCAUUCUAGAACUACCACAGUACACUGAAACAAACUGUGGCCCCUUCUUUCCGCUUCCGUAGUUUGCCACAAAUGACUGCGCAGAGCAACAAAGAGCUGGUGCCCAAGAGGGAAGCUGGGAAAUCUAAUGUCCAGGAUCACUUCCUGUAGCCAAUCUCUCUAGGACUUCAUGAAAGAUCUCACUGGCCUCCUUAGUGGUUGCUUCAGCCCUGGACAGCCUGUGUUGAAAACAGGAGAAUGCCAGUCUAUAUCCGCAAGGGUCCUCUUGAGAUCCCUCCCCCUUCUGAGAGGGACUGGAUUAAGGAUGAUGAGGAAGAUUACAUCUUGGAGGACCCAGACCAAAUCCUGGAUUCUCUGCCUCAGCCCUUCCGGAUGAUCAAUAAACUGCUGAAUCGUCUGUUUGACCGGACGUGGGACAUCAUCGAGGAGAGGGAAGUAGUCAGAGAGGUUGAGCAAUCCAAGGUUAAGCCCACCCUCUACCAGCCGACCGCAGAGAUCAAGCUUUCAAAAGUGCCGAACUGUGUGACGACCUCACGAGGCUACCUGUUCAUUGGGUUCUCCAGAGGACUGCAGGUCUUCAGUCUGUUGAGCAGCACCCGGAUCUGUGGCUGGGAAGCAGCCAGAGUUGAGAUCACUUCCAUCUGGGCUGUGGCUCUUGGGAAUGAGACCCUUCUUGCCACCCUGGACGACAUGGGUGUUGCUCGGCUGUUUUAUUUUUACAAGGAGAAUCUCUUCUUAAUCAAGGCCAUCAAUGAAACCGAAGAUCUCAGCAAGCAAGCCACCUGUGUGAAGCUGGAGCUCUCUCCUGGUGGGGAGUUUGCAGCUUUCCUUCUGCAAGGAGGUGGAGAAGUUUGGCUGGAUGUGUACAGAUUGCCCAAGGAUUCUUGGCUCAGAGAGAUGGAACACCCCCAUUCGGCAGGAACCAGCAAGAAGAAAAUGAGCCAGAACCAUCUGAAAUCAAUGGAGUCCCUGGGAUCCGAAGGUUCAGAGUUGAGUGAGUGUAGGUCACAGACCAGGCCCAGCAGCCAGAAGCGCUCAAGGUCUCUGUCCCCACCACCGCAAGACAUUCGAGGAGAUUUGAAGCUGAGUAGCCCAGUUCACAUGUUGAAGAUCAGACCACCCAAACCCAUCACAGGAACUGCAUUUAAAAGUCUCCUGGAAGCCUUGCAAAAGAUGGAGGAGAGCUCUGGGCUGGGCUCUGGGCAGAAUCACCUCAUCAAAGACAGCCAAUGGGAGCAGCAGGAAGCAAUUUUUUCCAUUUUGUUCAAGAAAUAUCUGGAUACAGAAUGCUCCGAAUUCAAAGACGAAAAACCAAGUCUUGCCGAGUUCCAUUUUCUCCUUCCUGGCCAGAUCUUUACCGUACCCACCGAACCAGGGUGCCCUUCAGGAAUGGCCUGUGCCCUUGGCAUUCACUGGAGUGGAAGCCACAAUUUCAACCUCUAUUCACUAGUCCGAACACAGAAGGAGAAAGUUGGCCAUGCUGCUCCAUCAGACCCCGAUCUGAAGCCCGACACAGUCUGGCCAUGUGCGGCACCCAUCGUGAGCUCAGCGGUCAGCUCCUGCUCGUCUUACCUGGCUCUAGCCUGCACUGAUGGAACGGUCACUGCCUGGGACCGAACCCAAGGGUUCCCUCUUGCGGUGGUGGCCCUCCCCCAGGGAUGUCUCAGUCGCAGCCUUCACUUCCUGAACAGCUCCCCGACCUAUAACGAAGUCCUGAGGCUAAGGAUGCCCGUUAGCCCCCAGGUGCAGUGUGGAGUUUUGGGCACUGACGGGGCUCUCUACCUGGUGACGGCAACCAGGGCCAGAGAGUCAUGCCUCAGCGUGCUCUCAGAGAGCCCGACAAAGCUGAGUGAGACACUCUGUGCGGUGACAUCCGUCCCAGCCUUACCUGACGCAAUGCUGAUUUUCUUCUGGGAUGGUUCUGUGCAACUGGUGAAUGUGGACCAGAAGAGCGUUGCUGGUGCCUUUGCUCCCCCUGAUUCCCACAAGAUAGCCAGCCCCUGGCAACCGGUGUUCGCUGUGGAUCCAGACAAUCCGAUCCUCCUGCUCCGAGGAGACAGACACAGUGACACAGACAAGGCUACGAAGACCAGAGGUUGUGAGAGCUCCUUAUUCCUUUUCCACUUUGAUUCCUUCCCACUAGAAGAGUUUUUCCCAAAGGGCCCGAGGGCCCCACAGCUUGAAAUGCCAGCCAGUCAAGGCUCCAUCCAGGACCUGCACUGGGAUAAGAGAUGUGAACUUUUCCUCCAGAACAGAUUGAAGGGCCUGGACAAGCGCAUCCUGAAAAGAUCUCAAUGCUGGACUCAGCUGCGGAAGCACUCGAUAGCCCUGACCAGAGACAGCCUCAGGAAGUCAUCCGCCUUUAUGGAGCGAGCCCAGGAGCAGUGAUCACUAGCCUUUGGCUUCCGAGCCAGCCAGCCCCCUUCGGCCCCUGGGAGCUGGGGAGAGCUCAGGAGAGCUCUCAGGAGGGUAACCCCCUGACUGUUGAGGGGGUUUAGUCAUGGACUCAAACCUGAGAAUCAACAGAAAGCCCUGUUUGGAGGGUACCUGUCUCCGCUGGUUAUGGGAGAGGAUAUCAUUCUGAAAAUGUCAGAGAUGAAGGUCAUGCUGAAGUGAAAUGUGUAGGCUCUGCAGCUCUGGAUGCCUUAGUAAUUGCACCUGUAAAAGAAUUUGAAAACAGGUGGUUCAGAAAGAUCGAAGAGCCCCUUUGAAACUAGGGGCUGCUAAUAGAUUUCAACCUAGCAGCCAAUUUUAAAAGUUCUUGCUUCUG